rnacentral:rRNA from 1 species
ACGCACGCUGGCGGCAGGCUUAACACAUGCAAGUCGAACGCAUGCCUUCGGGCAUGAGUGGCAGACGGGUGAGUAACGCGUGGGAACCUACCCCUUGGUACGGGAUAGCUCCGGGAAACUGGAGAUAAUACCGUAUGUGUCCUGAGGGACAAAGAUUCAUCGCCAAGGGAUGGGCCCGCGUCGGAUUAGCUAGUUGGUGGGGUAACGGCCUACCAAGGCGACGAUCCGUAGCUGGUCUAAGAGGAUGAUCAGCCACAUUGGGACUGAGACACGGGCCAAACUCCUACGGGAGGCAGCAGUGGGGAAUAUUGGACAAUGGGCGCAAGCCUGAUCCAGCCAUGCCGCGUGAGUGAUGAAGGCCCUAGGGUUGUAAAGCUCUUUCACCGGUGACGAUAAUGACGGUAACCGGAGAAGAAGCCCCGGCUAACUUCGUG